AGUCAUUUCCAGGAUCAAAACCAUUUAGGUUAUCGAUACCAAAUAAAAACUAAUUUUUUUUUGUAACAAUUAAGCUUUUAUUGGAAGAUCUACAGAGUCUUAAUUUUAAACUUACGUUCCACCGUUUCGACAAAGUCUAUAAAAUCCUUGUAUAGAACCUUUGGAACCUCUAGAGCGGCAAAGUGCCCGCCCUUUUUGUGGUAAGUGCUGUGCACUAGGUUCGUGUACUUAUCCUUCAACUGGACAUCCAGGAACUGCAUAAUGUCGCUCUUGAAACGGGCACAUCCAGUUGGCACUCGGGUGGGAACCCGAUCCAGGUGCAGGUCCCGCUGUGCCUGGGCAUACUGCUCGGCAUAGAGACGCUGGGAGGUGGUAAUCGAAUUGGUCAGGUAGUAGAUCAUCAGGUUGUCCAGCAGGGCAUCCAUUUUGUAGCGCUUAGUGAGUCCUCCAUCUGGCAGAGAUCGGUAGCUGGGAUUUGUCCACGUGGAGAACUUCUCCAGAAUGUAGGCGGCCAGACCCACUGGGUUAUCGGUGAGGGCGGCUCCGAUGGUGUCCGGUUUGGUGGCCUGGAUGUGGAAGUAGCCACUCUCCUCCAUUAGGUAUCUCAUCUCGUUAGACUUGGGAAAGAAGAAAUCUUCAAAGCCAGAGGGCACAAACAAACUGGGCCAAAAUUCGGCCACUAAACCCUUAGCCAGCGACUUCGGACUCAAAUUGUUGCACAUGUUCGAGUGGUAGCCCAGCACGUUUUCCGGAUACAAGGUGGCAAUGUUGCUGCCAAUAAUGCUGCCCCAGUCUCCACCCUGGAUAAAGAAUUUGUUGUAUCCCAAACGCAGCAUAAGAUUCCUCAUCAUCACCGCCACUUGAGCGGGACCCAGUCCUUUUCUGGAGGUGCCCUGCAGGAUAAGAGACAGAUAAGCCUAUAAUACACUACGUAGAUUGGACAAAACCCACCUGUGACCAGCCAUAACCUGGUAAACUCGGAACCACGACGUUAAAGAUGUACUUGUUAUUAUUGUCCAGAUUGGUCUGAUGCAGCAAAUGUAUGAAAUCGUAAAACUCCCGCACCGAUCCCGGCCAUCCGUGGAGCAGCAACACCGGAUAGUGUUUCUUACCCACUUUGUUGUCAUCAUAAACCAUCAGGUGGAGGAAGUGUGUGCGUAGCCUAAAACCCCAUCGUUACUAUCUGUGCAUAUGAUAAGUGGGCACCUUAUCUUACCCCUGAAUAUCGGUGGUGAAGUGAUUGAACUGCCAAAGGAACACCUCGCGUUCGCGCCAACGCGGCAGGUAGUCAUCGCGCCAGUACUCCACGACCUCCUUAAGGUAAUUCGUAUUGAAUCCGUACUCAAAAGCCACGCCCUCGAGCGGAGGCGUAAGGCGCAGGGUGCGAUUGAGACGCUCUUUCAAAUCAGCAAUGGUCUGCACAUGGUAUGAGUUAGUAUAUAGUACAUAAUAAUGGAUAGACCCCCACUUACCUUAUCCGGAUAACUAAGCCUAUUGCCUAUCACCUCCGAAUUGUUCUUCAAAUAGGCCUCGUAAUCCUUGGGCUGCGCCUCAUCGCCCCACCACUCCUGGGGAUCCAACUUUGGUGCGGGCAAGUCCGCCCAUAGUUGGGUCACAUUCCUAUAGACCAGCCCACCGGCAAUGGCCAGUAUCAAGACCAGAAUUUUAACAGUGACACCCAUCUGUUCCUAUCAGCGGUUCCACUCAGACUGUCUCGGAUAGCAGCUACGAUUCCACUGAUUCUACCAUAUCAUCGUGGGCGCAGCUCUCGUUUUCGACGCUCAUGAUGAUAAGCGACUUUGAGUGACCACCCUACGCCGAUCAGUUGGGGCUUAUCGCGGGUUUACUUUGGACUCGACUCCACUGAGACGGAGUAGCGGCUUUCCACAUCGGGGAUGACUCGAAUGAAUCGGCUUGUUUGUUUAUUUACUCAACAAAGCUUACAUGCCGGUUUUUGGUUUGAAGCUUUUACGGGUAAAGACCGGAGGGGUAUGUAUGUAUGUAUGUACUAUAUGUAUAAAGAAUGAGACCCGCGAAUUGUUUUUGUAUAUUUUGCGACGCAGCUGGGCUACCAGGUUAGCUAAAAAAUACCCCUUAUUUUCGAACUACACUGGGGUAGACUGAACAUGUGUGAGAUCUUUGUUGCCAAGUAAAAUUUGAUGUUCAUUUGGUUUAAUAUCACUCUACUGUCAUUUAGUUAAGUAAUAAUUCAACAUAUUACAUGAUUUCUUAUAAAGGGUACACCAAUGUCGACUAUAGCCCAUGGGAAUAAGUUACGUAACAUCGUUCCGAGCUUAGAUAUAUCAUAUAUGUACAUAUACUUAUGAAAGCAAACACCACACACUGCCCUUUUGCUCGCCACUCGUGUAUUCCAAACAAAAAACUCUUCAACUUUCGGUUUUCAAAGCAGAUAAGGCAAAUACAAUCACCAAGUCGAUUUGAUUUAAUUUUUGCAACAAACAUAACCGUUUCUUUCAAGAAUCACGAUGAAAAUGUACAAUGGACUUCUAUAACUAAUGAUAAACAAUUUUGUUUUAUGAGAAAUUGGCUUUCUGGACAAAAGACACAAAGUCGUCGUACAGCUGCUGGGGCAGCUCAAAAGCGGGAAAGUGACCUCCAUCCCGGUGGUGGGUACUGUGCACCAGAUUGGGGAACUUGUUGGCCAAAACCGAGUCGGAGAAAUGUGUGAUCUCAUGGGCGAAACGGGUGCAGCCAGCCUUGGCCUUGAUGGGCACGGAGUCCACGGCCAGUGCAAACUGCGAGGCAACCAUUGAUUCGGAAUACAGACGCAUGGAGGUGGUAAUGGAGUUGGUCACAUAAUAGAUCAUCACAUUGUCCAGAAGCUGAUCGUAGGUAAAUCUCUUGGUCAGACCACCGUCAGGAAGCGAUCUAAAUGCCGUAUUCGUCCAUGUGGAGAACUUCUCCAGAAUAUAGCUAGCCAGACCAGUUGGAUUGUCGAUCAAAGCAUUGCCGAUGGUGUCUGGCUUGGAGGCCUGAAUGUGGGCAUAGCCCAUCUCCUCCAUUAUGGUGCUAAACAAGUGACCGAGUCCCUUGUAGAAGUCCGCAUACUCGCUGUCCACAAACCAGCUGGGGAAAAAGGAGGCCAGCACCAUCUUCAACUGACCCAUAGGGCUGUUAUUUCCGCACAUAUUAGAAUGAUAGCCCAGCACGUUUUCCGGAAAAAGUGAGGCUACAUUGGAUCCAAUUAUGGAACCCCAAUCGCCACCCUGCACCAGAAACUUAUCGAAUCCCACUCGGAGCAUCAGGUUGCGCAUCACCACCGCCACUUGCGCCACACCGAAUCCAGUUUUUGAAGAGCCCUGGAGUUGGAAAAAUAUAAAAUUAGUCAUUUUUCAAUUUGUAAUUUGGAGAAGGUUGUGUAAUAACUUGUCUACCUAAGUGCUAUAUAUUAAUGCCAUAGUAAGAGAUAAGUUCUAUGGCUUACGGCUUUUGGAGAAUAUAGCAUUACUUGGUUAGCAAUUUAUUGUUGUCCCUUUGGAAACAAAUCUAACCUGAGACCAUCCGUAGCCGGGCAGACUGGGUGCAAUAACCUCGAAGACGUAGUCGCUCUUGUCACUGGGCGUGGUCAGGAGAGGGAUGAAGUCGUAGAAUUCGCGAACGGUUCCCGGCCAUCCGUGCAUCAGAAGCAGAGGCAGCACCUUCUUGGGCUUUUGGCCUUUCACCUGGCUUGGCUUGGCAUGAAUAAAAUGAAUUUUUAAACUGCAAAAAAAUGGAAAAACAUUUGGGGUUAACUUUUCAUGUUAAUUUGCAAAAGCAGGCGACUAAUUAAGCGUGGAACACUUCGGUUUUCCAUAAGUUCUGUCGCACUCACCCCUGAAUUUCCGUUUGGUAGUGAUCCAGCUUCUUGAGGUACUCCUCCCGUUCGCUCCAUUUGGGCAGAUAUGUAUCGCGCCAGUAUUUCACCACCUUGGCCAGUUCGUUGGCAUUGAAUCCGUAUUGGAAACCCACACCCUCCAGUGGCGCCUGCGCUUUCAAAGGACGACUCAGCUGACCGAUUAGAUCCUCAAUAACCUUUGAUAAGAAGUGAUGAAGGAUAUUAAAAAAAUUAUAUAACUUAAAUUAAAUUAUUAAAUCAAAUAUAACUUUAAAUAGUAUGAAUUUGUACAAAUUACCAUAAAUUCUGUAUAAUUAAUGAUACUUGCAUACCAGCAUGAUUCGAAAUAUUUACAUAUACUAUACAUUCAUAGCUUUGAUUGCAUAUCAUACUGAUUUGAUAUUUUGCAUUUGUAUAUAUGCAUUUGUGUAUGUAUAUUUAUUUACCUCUGGCUUUACGCUGAUGUCGAAGGGUAGGAUGGCCUUGUUCUCCCGAUAAGGUUCCUUCAAUGUUGGACCCCAGUAGGCGUUGUUGUCCAGAUCGGGUCUCUUGCCGGGCGCCGAGAGAUCGCGAUAGUUCUUAUAGCCAACGGCCACCAGGAUGGUCAGAGCUCCGACCAAGAUUCGUGGCCAGAUGUUCGCCAUUGUGUGUUUAUGCUAUAUUCUUUAUAUAUUCU
ensembl:ncRNA asRNA:CR46485 antisense RNA:CR46485